rnacentral:rRNA from 1 species
AGAGUUUGAUCAUGGCUCAGGAUAAACGCUGGCGGCGUGCUUCAGGCAUGCAAGUCGAACGAGCUUCCAGACUUCGGUUUGGCGGCUAGUGGCGGACGGGUGAGUAACACGUAAGUAACCUGCCCAGAAGUGGGGAAUAACUGACCGAAAGGUUAGCUAAUACCGCAUGUGAUGGUCUUUCUCCGGAUUGACCAUUAAAGGAUUUAUUCGCUUCUGGAGGGGCUUGCGGUCGAUUAGCUUGUUGGUGGGGUAAUGGCCUACCAAGGCCGCGAUCGAUAGCUGGUCUGAGAGGACGAACAGCCACACGGGGACUGAGAUACGGCCCCGACUCCUACGGGAGGCAGCAGCUAGGAAUCUUGGGAAUGGGCGAAAGCCUGACCCAGCAACGCCGCGUGGGCGAUGAAGGCCUUCGGGUCGUAAAGCCCUUUUGCAGGGGAAGAUGAUGACGGUACCCUGCGAAUAAGCCACGGCUAACUACGUGCCAGCAGCCGCGGUAAUACGUAGGUGGCGAGCGUUGUCCGGAUUUACUGGGCGUAAAGGGCGUGCAGGCGGUUGUUUAAGUCUAGGGUGAAAGCUCCCGGCUCAACUGGGAGAGGUCCUUGGAUACUGGCCGACUUGAGGAGAGUAGAGGAAAGUGGAAUUCCCGGUGUAGUGGUGAUAUGCGUAGAUAUCGGGAGGAACACCAGUGGCGAAGGCGGCUUUCUGGGCUCUACCUGACGCUGAGACGCGAAAGCGUGGGGAGCGAACCGGAUUAGAUACCCGGGUAGUCCACGCCGUAAACGAUGGACACUAGGUGUGGGGGGUAUCGACCCCUUCCGUGCCGAAGCUAACGCAGUAAGUGUCCCGCCUGGGGAGUACGGCCGCAAGGCUAAAACUCAAAGGAAUUGACGG